UACGGGGGGGGCAAGCGUUGUUCGGAAUUACUGGGCGUAAAGGGCUCGUAGGCGGCCAACUAAGUCGGACGUGAAAUCCCCAGGCUUAACCUGGGAACUGCAUUCGAGACUGCAUUGCUAGAGUAUGGGAGAGGGAAGUGGAAUUUCCGGUGUAGCGGUGAAAUGCGUAGAUAUCGGAAGGAACAUCAGUGGCGAAAGCGACUUCCUGGACCAAUACUGACGCUCAUGUGCGAAAGCGUGGGGAGCAAACAGG
rnacentral:rRNA from 1 species